AGAGUUUGAUCAUGGCUCAGAACGAACGCUGGCGGCAGGCCUAACACAUGCAAGUCGAACGCUGUAGCAAUACAGAGUGGCAGACGGGUGAGUAACGCGUGGGUGACCUGCCUCGAAGUGGGGAAUAACUGCCCGAAAGGGUGGCUAAUACCGCAUGUGACGGUGCGUUCGUUCGCACCAUGAAAGCCGCAAGGCGCUUCGAGAGGGGCCUGCGUUCGAUUAGCUCGUUGGUGGGGUAACGGCUCACCAAGGCGACGAUCGAUAGGUGGUCUGAGAGGACGAUCACCCAGACUGGGACUGAGACACGGCCCAGACUCCUACGGGAGGCAGCAGUCGGGAAUUUUGCGCAAUGGACGAAAGUCUGACGCAGCAACGCCGCGUGAGGGAUGAAGGCCUUCGGGUUGUAAACCUCUUUCAGUACCGACGAAGCGCCGAUGAUGGUGGUGACGGUAGGUACAGAAGAAGCACCGGCCAACUACGUGCCAGCCGCCGCGGUAAUAC
rnacentral:rRNA from 1 species